CCCUUAGACGUUCUGGGCCGCACGCGCGCUACACUGACCAGUGCAACAAGCAUCCGUCCUUGGCCGACAGGCUCGGGCAAUCUUUGAACGCUGGUCGUGAUGGGGAUAGACUUUUGCAAUUUUUGGUCUUCAACGAGGAAUUCCUAGUAAACGCAAGUCAUCAACUUGCAUUGAUUACGUCCCUGCCCUUUGUACACACCACCCGUCGCACCUACCGAUUGAAUGGUCCGGUGAAGCCUCCGGAUUGGCGCGCACCUCGGUGCCGCCGAGAAGUUGGCUAAACCUUACCAUUUAGAGGAAGGUGAANUCGUANCA
rnacentral:rRNA from 1 species